ACACCCACUGCUGGUUGACGACAGAUCAGACUAAAGGACCGUGGAGAGCGCUGACCUAUUUGCCUGGACGAUGGGCUUUCAUACGGGGCCAGCUGGCCACCUUUAGAGGCCCCCAUCCUGCUAUCAUAAACCACAGGUUUGUUUUCUGCCAACUGAAAGGUCACAACAGCACCUUCUCCUCUUUCUAUCCGUACCGGUUAUUCAAUGUUUAAGCUCUCUCGGGGAUCGUAACAGGUUGUUUGUCUCUUAGAGCAACAGCCGCAGUGCCCUAAGCGGACACCAAAUGGUUGACGGCGAUUUAGUCAUGAUUUACAUGCACUUUUCCUGUGUCACUGCUGAUUUUGAUCAUACUUCGACAUUAUUGUAAGUAAAAUAAGUAAAAGCAUUUCUGUCUAUCUGUCCCUAUCAUCUCUGACUCUCCCUUUAUUCCACUGGUGGAGUAAUGUUGCAUCUCUCUGAGUAAUGCAGCAAAGAGUUUGGCCCAGACCUGCUCAUUACAUAAAGCACUGUUUCUAAACCCGAAACUUGUGGUAAGCAUCAUCAUAAUUUUUUUUUGUGGUGCACCAAUGACUCGUUUGGAGUUUGCCAUGCCAAGACCCUGGUAUCAUUUGAGCUCUGGCCCACAUUCACCAUCAUUACAUUCAACGCAGACAUAUGCUUCGUGUCAAUGUUACAUGGACUUGGCAUGCAGGAAACUCCCCUUUCAUCAAGUCUGGCACUGAACACCCCAGUGACACUCUCUCUCUCUCAUAAAUGUCAAGUUUUUUUUAUCUUAAACAAGUGCCAAAUUAGACCCAUAAAAAGCUAGUUAGUAAUGUUGAGUGCCAAGUUCAUUAAAACCCUUAGAGUAGUCUGCAAGACCACGUGCCGGAGUGUGAGUCUGAGGUGGGGCAGUGAAGGGCGUUUGACACUGCCUGAGUAACCGUAGUAUAUGUGUGCUAAUGGUGCUCUGAGUCACAGAUCCCUGGGAAAAACACAGUCAUCUAGGCUGUAUGCUGCCCUGUCCUUUACUCUGAAAUCCUUGGUGUGAUGGUUGUGAUCCUGGUCUGUGGAAGUGAAACUGAAUGUCCCCUCUCCAUCAUCUUUCCACCACACAGGCAGCUAAUUUACGCCUAACUGCCGUGGAGGCGUCAGGCCCAUGUCAACAAGGUGUUUCUGGGGAUGUAGAUGGGUGUAAAUGAUGUUUUUAAGGUGACCUUACUAGCAGCAGGAGAACAAUGUGUGAUCUGGAGUGUUGAGAGUGUGUUGAGAGCACAGCAUGGGGCACACCCGAUUAUAAACCCCUGAGAUAUGCUCCGGGGUUUUUCCGCUGAAGGUCAGUGUAUAGCUCUGGUUAUCACUCUGGCUUGGCUUAUCUGUGGACGCAUGGUGCCGGACAGAGCCAUACUUUGCAGAUCCAGGCCAACGGGUGUGGAUAAUGAGGAGAAAGAGGGGGGUGUGGGGAUAUUAUGGCGAUGCAUACUGACAGUUGAAAGAGUUUCAAAGCUCCUUAACACAUCAAAUAAAGAACGGAAAUAUGGAGCAUUUAGCGUGGAGACUAAGCAUCACACAGACUGAUGAAUGGCUUGUUUAAAACUCAGAGCAGAUGAGAUCAUCUGUUUUUUACAUAUGAAGCCAAAGAAGAGAAAACAAAAUAUUUAAAAAAAAGGCGUGAAGAGACAAAACUUUUCCAGAAACAUGCAAAAAAGAUUAAAAAAAGUGAGAUACUUUUCAUUUAAAGGAGACUAAAUAGAGCGAUAAUAAUCAAUAGAGAUGAUUACUUCUCUUUUCCAUUACUGCCAUCAAGAGGGACUCACAAGGGUUUUUCUUUCUCACUAUAAACUCUCAUUUAUUUGGACCUCUGUUUAAAGAGCCCAGAAACAGUCUGAGGAGUCCAUGGGGAGGAAAAAAAACCCAUGUUGCAAAAGAUGAGAGCUGGUUCCCAGGCCUAGUUUAGGAAAAACAAUGCACAUCACUUCAUUAUGUCCUGUCUUUUUCUCUGUCAUUGUCCCUUUCUCUUUUUCCUCUCUUCUUACUCUGUCUGUGUUUUCCCCCCCUCUCCCUCUCUCUCUCUGUCUCUCUCUCUCUCUCUCUUUUUCUGUCUGUGAGGGUGGUCCAGUUGUCGUUUUCUAGGCGAGGACAAUGAUUAUGUGUUUUGACACUGUUAGGUCUCCUGCAGUCUUCUUCUCUCAAUCCCCAGAGUCAUCACAGCAGCUUAGACCCAGCACAGAGAUAACCCCCUCCAGGUCUUGUUUUUGAUCAAUAUGGUCCUGCUUGGAU